rnacentral:rRNA from 1 species
ACGCAAUAGAUACCCCGGUAGUCCACGCCGUAAACGAUGAUCACUCGCUGUUUGCGAUAUACAGCAAAGCGGCUGAGCGAAAGCAUUAAGUGAUCCACCUGGGGAGUACGAUCGCAAGGUUGAAACUCAAAGGAAUUGACGGGGCCCGCACAAGCGGAGGAAACAUGUGGUUUAAUUCGAUGAUACGCGAGGAACCUUACCUGGGCUUAAAUGUAGGCUGCAUUCGGCUGAAAGGCUGAUUCCCUUCGGGGCUGCUUACAAGGUGCUGCAUGGUUGUCGUCAGCUCGUGCCGUGAGGUGUCGGGUUAAGUCCCAUAACGAGCGCAACCCCGUAUCGUUAGUUGCCAGCGGGUCAAGCCGGGGACUCUAGCGAGACUGCCACCGUAAGGUGAGAGGAAGGUGGGGAUGACGUCAAAUCAGCACGGCCCUUAUGUCCAGGGCUACACACGUGUUACAAUGGCCGGUACAAAGGGCAGCUACUAUGCGAAUAGAUGCUAAUCUCGAAAGCCGGUCCCAGUUCGG